AGCUGCUCUUAUUUAUGUUACAAUGUCUGUAUUUAUUAUAUUUUCAAGUACGCUUAACAAUUGGAUACCAUUUUCUAAAAGGGUUCUUAGUCAGACUGAAACUCCUAACACACUCCUCUUCUCUUUUAGCCCACGAGUCUGGGUUUGAAGAAAAAUAUCCUUUAUGUUUCUGUGAAGACUGGCUUUAUUUCUAAUUAAGUGAGAGUUUACAAUUAGAGGUAAACCUGAUGGCAGGUAGUCCGGCAGCAGCCUCGAAGUAAAAAUGACAAAUAGCAGUUCCCCACUUAAGAAAAUAACAUUCUGUUGAUUGACCGACACCCUUUAAAUUUUAGCUAUUAACAACUCUUACAGAAACAGGAACUGCCAAUAACAAACUUGAUUUCCAACGUCCCCAAGGUAAUAAUAAUCCACUAAUUUGACUAUAUCCCAGCUGGCCCUCUGUAGCAGUUUCUAGCUGGUUUUUGAAGCGGUGAAGCCUUAUCUUUCUUGGGGGGCGGGGGAACACAGAGAGGGUGGGCAGUGAAGUUUAGAAGGAGUGUGGAGAGAAAACACAUGGAAAUGUAAUGUGAAAGUUUCUUGUUGCAAUAAAGCUGUGAGGUUUGGCAUGAAGACUGUUAUCAGAUGGUUCCUUUGACAUUCCUUGAGCCUUUCAGCGCAUCUUCUUUCACCAGCUUUUGAGACGGAAGGAGAGGUGGUUAAGGCGUAGAAGACAACUUCAACCCCGCGUUGAUCACAAAGUUCCUGCUUUUUAAAGACAAGUGAGCCAGCCAAGCUGUAAGGCUAAUCACCCUGGGCAAGUAUGAGUUUAUCUAAAGAGGAUUUCAUGUGGAACCCCCGGAGCCGGCCCGCCAAACGGAUGACUGCACACUUUAAGAAAGUUAGUGGGCCUUCUCCCAAUCAACUGUCAGGCCACAUAAAAGGUCUGGAACGCGCUGACUUAAGCAAAUGAUAUUUCGCCAUCUAAGGAGACCAGAAGGCCCAAGAUUUCGCUUUGUUGGAGCUGACAGGAAAUAUUGAUACGUAUCGAGUAACAUUCCUGGUGGAAAAAGGAAGAUGUGAUUCUUUCGCCACUGUCUCUAUUUACAAAACUGUCUUGUGCUUUGGAAACAAGGUGGGGGCAGGGGAGACGCCAAACCCAACACUUCACUUGGGACCUUUCCAGCGUUCCUGGGACGGCCAUUUAGUGAAAAUAGGACUCAAGCUCCACUCGUCUCUUUUUAAAAGCACAAAAUGCACUGGGAUUGGAAUUUGCAAAUUCUCUGAAGGUCUAGCCGACAGGUGGACUUUGUCCAUCACCCUAAAUCUAUUCCUUAUUAACCUCAAAAAGCUGCCAGGGUUUCUGUUGGUGUGUUAUGAUGCCAAAGUGUCUUAGAAAUAUCUGGCUUUCAAGUCUAAAGAGCAAGUGAACAGGUCCUAGGAAACAAAGUUCUAGUCUUGUCAGAAAUAAUGUUCAUAAGCCUAAUGGUUCAUCACUUUCAGUAUUUUAGCUGCUCGGGGGAGGGGUGGGAGGAUGCAUGAUGCCCUGUAUUGGUAAAGUCUGAUGGGCAGCCCUGAGCCUUCACCGUAAAAAUAAGGUGGGGUUGGAGGGUUUCAUUUAAAAAGGGGCGGGAGGAACACCUUAUUUUAUCAGCGUAUUUCAACAUUCUCUAUCAGUAAUGUUGUGCCUGAGGUGAUAGCCUUGAAGAUGCUGGAGGUGGCAGUGUUAAUGAAAUACCCAUUGGCAUUAAGCGACAUUUCUAGAAUCCUGAUAGUAGGACUAGAAAGGAAAGUGAAAUGUGUAACAGCACAAUAAACAAGGGAAACUGCUGAAAAGAACCUGCUUGUUCUGUGAGGAAGAUCGCUUCCAGUUAAACAAAGAAAUUUAGGGUCGUCUGCUUUUCAUGAAAAUCGCAUACAUAUGGCCUUUGAAAUUUGUCACUGAAGACGGUUUUGCUCUAAGGUAAAAUUCACCACUUUAUAGCUUUUCAGCUGCACAUCUCUGGCUUUUUUUUUUUUUCUUCUCUCUUUUGGCCUGCAGCCCAAUAUGAAUGUAUGAUCACUAGCACAAUAGUUAGAAACAUCUGAGUCUUUUUGAAGUGCCUUCAAUGUUACAAUGAUGUGAUGGUCGAUUGCCUAGCCGUCAGUUUAGAAAAGAACUUCAUUCUGCCCCCUAGUGGUAGAGAUUAAAGUUUAAUGACUACUUCAUAAUACAUAAAGCCUCCUUCCCCCCACCCCCAUCCCCAUACUCUAAGAACGUAAUGUAGUGCGGAAAGUACUAAUGAGUUUCUUCUUAAUCCGCAAAAUGUAUAUUUUCACAGGAAUAUUACAGCCGAAUGGACCGUUUUAUAAACCACAGUGUCAUUCAAUAUACCUUUCAGGCACUUAGCUGUGCUUUGCUGAAUAAUAUGGACUGCCACUAUAAAUAGGCAUUUUUCCCACUACCAGAUCCCUCCUGGAAAAAUUCUGGGACUUCUUAAUGGGAGUUUCUUACCAAGGAGCAUAUGGCAUUGCCAAAGUAAUUGGGAAAAAAAAGUACACACACACACACAGACACACACACAGACACACACACACACACACACACACACACGUAUUCAAAGAAAGCCAGGUACACCAAAGUAUAGAAAGGGUUUGUGAUGUCAACAAUGUUUUUGAUAUGGGGAAUGUUGAUUACAUCUAGCUAUUUGGGAGCUGACCACAAAGUAGAAGGGAUUUGUUUGGGCUUUUUUUUUUUUUUUUUUAAGUCCUGUCCUGGCUUUGUUUUACUUGUUUAUGCAUUUGUUAAAAACCAUUCAUGUAGAUUUCAUAUCCUGCAUGCUGGUGAGCAUGUCAAAGCACAUGAAAUCAAGCCCUCAUAACAGAGAAAUCACCCAGUGUGCAUGGAUGUUUAGUCUUACACAAGUGAAAGCUCAUGUAGGAGAAAGAUGGAGAAGGCUGAGAAGGAGAAGGAAGAGGAAGAGGAAGAGGAGGGGUCCAUGGAGAGAGGACAGGGCAGCUGGACCAUGUGUAAUGUAAUGUGUCAGUGUGUGUCUGUGCCACUAUUGUGCUGCUGAUGCUGGAAUGCCAGGAAGGUGCUACUUUAUUGAAUAAGGACCCAUGUAAAUUUGAGCUGUCGACAUGGGAUCACUCCUUUGGACAAAGAGAGAAGUUUUCUCCUUACCCAUAUUUGAUUUCUAGUCACAGCUACAUGUUUUUCUGAGUCCUUUUGCCACCAGGCUGUAUCUAGGUAGCUGGGCAGGUUUUGGACACCCUUGUCUUUUCAGACUGGUUCUGCAGGUUUAGUUAGUACCUGGUUUGUGACAGUGUAUGGACUGGCAUUCCAAGACAUGAAGUCAGGAUUUUUUCAGGAAAUAGGUUAUGUCUAUAAGGCUAUCAAGUCAUCAUUAGUGUUUGUGAAGAAGCAGACUGGCUAUUGUUUUAUUUAUGUCCACUGUGAUAGGUGAAUGCUUUACUCAAAGAGAAUGGGUCAAAACAAAAAUUAAUACAUUAGAUGGAUUUUUUUUAUUAUGAAGUAUGUCCCCUAGGUUAUAACCAUGUCAAUUUAAUUCCUUUCUUUAAAAACUGCUCUGGGGAACCACGUGAUCCACACAGGGCCAGAGAAACCCUCACUUCUUAUCACUCCUCCUAGCUUUCUAGCUUCCCCCCACCCCCUGGGCUCCAAGUGGUUUGAAAGAGGCUGCUGACAUUUCUGAGAUUUGGAGUGGGGUUCUGGGAAGCUCUCGGCAAACUGGAAAGGGAGGAGGAAGAGGAGAAGGAGAGGAGAAAAGCAUCCUCUGAGUAAGACCAACUCCAAAGCAGCUUGAGUCUCAUGGGAGUUUAAUUAGAGAAAGAAUUUCAGCCCUGUUCACACAGGGAAGAUUAUUCAUACUAGGAGAUCUCAGAUGCAAAUUUUUUUUUUUUUAAUAAUAGGACGCCUAGAACAUUUUGUGGUAUAUUAGGAUUGCAGCCUUUCUUUCUCCUCAUUGCAGAAUUUCAUUUCUGAAAACAACCCAAAAUGUCACAGCUCUCCUGGUGUCACUGAUGUGGCAGUUCCUACAACUCUGGCUGAAGGCAGCAAAUGGGACUUGGAUGACUUCUUUUUUUAACUCCAAUUACAUAGGUACAGAUUAUAUAUAUAUUUCAGUUUAUGUUAUUCAGCAUUUUAAUGAUGUCCACAAAAGUACUUUCUAGAAAUAUAUGGUUAAACAUACAGAGAGAAAGGAGAGAUUUCUGGGGUGAGAGAUGCCUAAACAAAUUAUUUGGACCUAAAGAAAUCAUUUGGUUAAUUUGUAACCAAAGAAAAUCUACUGAAAUUUAGAAAAGCUUUGGAGAUACUUGGCUAUAUUGAUUUUUAAAAUCGAAGUGUAUGGGAGUUCCCUUUGUGGCUCAGUGUAACAAACCUGACUAGUAUCUAUGAGGAUGCAGGUUUGAUCCCUGGCCUGGCCUCCCUCAGUGGGUUAAGGAUCUGGUGUUGCCAUGAACUGUGGUGUAGGUCACAGAUUUGGCUUGGAUCCUACAUUGCUGUGGCUGUGGUGUAGGCGGGCACCUGCUCCUCCAAUUAGACCCCUAGCCUGGGAACUUCCAUAUGCCACAGUGAGGUCCUAAAAAG